rnacentral:rRNA from 1 species
AUUGAACGCUGGCGGCAGGCCUAACACAUGCAAGUCGAGCGGAUGAAGGGAGCUUGCUCCUGGAUUCAGCGGCGGACGGGUGAGUAAUGCCUAGGAAUCUGCCUGGUAGUGGGGGAUAACGUCCGGAAACGGGCGCUAAUACCGCAUACGUCCUGAGGGAGAAAGUGGGGGAUCUUCGGACCUCACGCUAUCAGAUGAGCCUAGGUCGGAUUAGCUAGUUGGUGGGGUAAAGGCCUACCAAGGCGACGAUCCGUAACUGGUCUGAGAGGAUGAUCAGUCACACUGGAACUGAGACACGGUCCAGACUCCUACGGGAGGCAGCAGUGGGGAAUAUUCGACAAUGGGCGAAAGCCUGAUCCAGCCAUGCCGCGUGUGUGAAGAAGGUCUUCGGAUUGUAAAGCACUUUAAGUUGGGAGGAAGGGCAGUAAGUUAAUACCUUGCUGUUUUGACGUUACCAACAGAAUAAGCACCGGCUAACUUCG